AUUGGCACUUUUGGAAUUGUC
rnacentral:miRNA from 2 species